UCUCUUGGAGUCGACUCGGCUCUCAGAGCCCGAAAACUGAUCCUCUGUAUUUUUGGCUUGUCUGGUCUUGGAGUCGACUCAAAUUGUUUCAGAGUCGACUCGGCUCUCAGUUUUCGAAACACAGCCUUCUGCCAUCUUGGUGUAGCGCUGCCUUGGAGUCGACUCGAGCUGUCUGGGAGUCGACUCGAAUCUCAGAGUCCGAAAACUGCCCUCUGACUUUUUCUUUGUGUUCCACUGAGAGUCGACUCUCGCUUUCUUUGGAGUCGACC
rnacentral:lncRNA from 1 species